UGGGGGAUAUUGCGCAAUGGGGGAAACCCUGACGCAGCAACGCCGCGUGAAGGAAGAAGGUCUUCGGAUUGUAAACUUUUGUCUUAUGGGACGAAAAAAAUGACGGUACCAUAGGAGGAAGCCACGGCUAACUACGUGCCAGCAGCCGCGGUAAUACGUAGGUGGCGAGCGUUGUCCGGAAUUACUGGGUGUAAAGGGCGUGUAGGCGGAGACUUAAGUCAGAUGUGAAAUUCCCGGGCUCAACUCGGGCGCUGCAUUUGAAACUGAGUUUCUUGAGUGAUGGAGAGGAAAGCGGAAUUCCUAGUGUAGCGGUGAAAUGCGUAGAUAUUAGGAGGAACACCAGUGGCGAAGGCGGCUUUCUGGACAUUAACUGACGCUGAGGCGCGAAAGCGUGGGGAGC
rnacentral:rRNA from 1 species